UUUUUGGAUGUCUCCUCUUCAAGUGCUGGUUUCUCUUCAAAUAAUAGUUCGUUAGGUGUUUCUUCCCGUUUUGGUUCUUCAGGUGCUUCUUCAGUUAUUGGUUUUGCAGCUUUCUCCUCAAUUGUCUCCUCAACCAAUGGUUCUUCAAGCUUCUCUUCCAUUGUUGUUUCUUUAGGUUUCUCUUCAAUUGCCGGUGGUUCAGGUUUUUUCUCAUCCACUGGUUCUUCUGGCUUCUCUGAAACUGCUGUUUCUUCUGAUUUCUCUUCAAUUGCUUGUUCUUCAUGUUUUUUUUCAACUACUGGCUCUUCAGUUUUUUCCUCAACUGAUGCAUAGUCAGCAAUGUCGUUGGUAUUGCAUGGAAUUGCAUUGUCUGUCUUGUCCUUUGAGUUUACAAUUGGCAAAUUAUGCAAGAAAAUUUUAAGUUUCAUUUAGUCUUUCAACAGAUAAACUUAUGUAAAUUCGUUGCACAUAUAAAGCUAAUAUGAUGGAUAGUUUUUAUGACAGUGUUUAUUUGUCACCUUCUCCUGAAGAGCUUCUGUUUCAGGUUCUUCCUCUUCAAUUGCUGGUUUUUCAUCUUUCUUUUCAACAACUAGUUCUUCAGAUGUGUCUUCAACUGUUGGUUCUUCAGGUUUCUCUUCAAGAGCUAGUUCUUCAGGUGUUUCCUCCCCUGCAAGCUCUUCAGGUGUUUCUAUAGUCGCCGGUUCUUCAGGUUUCUCUGUAAUCUCUAGUUCAGGUUUCUCCUCAACUGGUACUUCAGAUUUCUCCUCAAAUGUUGGUUCUUCAGGUUUCUCCUUAAUAGCUGGUACACCAGGUUUCUCUUCAAUGAGUGGUUCUUCAGUUUUUUCUUCAACUGCCGAUUCUUCAGGAUUUUCCUCACUGUCUGGAGAGUGUGCAACAUCAUUAUUGGUAUUGCAUGGGAUUUCACUGCCAGUUUUUUCGUUCGAGUCUACAAUUAGCAUAUUCUGCAAAAAGAAUUUAAUGUUUCACUUAGCCUUUCAAUAAAGAUGCAGAUGUGAAUCAUAGUACAUACAUAACUAACAAAAUGGAUAAACUUUGUGAUAGUGCUUGACCCUUACCUUUUCCAAAAGAGUUACCUUUUCAGGUUUCUCCUCUUCCAUGGCUGGUUCUUCAUGUAUCUCUUCAAAUGCUAGUUCCUUAGGUGUUUCUUCAAUUACUUGUUUUUCAGGUUUCUCCUCAAUUUUUGGUUCUUUGAUUGUCUCCUCAACUGAUGGUACUUCAAGCUUUUCUCCCACGGUUGGUUUUUCAGGUUUCUCUUCAACUGUCGGUUGUUCAGGUAUUUUCUCAACCGCUGGUUCUUCUGGUUUCCCCGAAACCCUUGAUUCUUCAGAUUUUUCUUCAAUUGCUGAUUCUUCAGAUAUCUCUUCAACUAUUGCUUCUUCAGUUUUUUCCUCAACUGAUGCAUAGUCAGCAAUGUCAUUGUUGGUAUUGCAUGGAAUUGCAUUGUCUAUUGUGUUCUUUGAGUUUACAAUUGGAAAAUUCUGCAAGAAAAUUUAAAGUUUCAUCUAGUCUUUCAAUAGAUAAACAUGUAAAUGCGUUGCACAUAUAAAGCUAAUAUGCUGAAUAAACUUUGUGAGAGUUAAUUCUCACCUUCUCCUUAAGAGCUUCCAUUUCAGGUUCCUCCUCUUCAAUUGCUGUUUUUUCAACUUUCUCUUCAACAACUAGCUCUUCAGAUGUAUCUUCAACCGUUGGUUCUUCAGGUUUCUCUUCAAGUGCUAGUUCUUCAGGUGUUUCUAUUGCUGCCGGUUCUUGAGGUUUCUCUUCAGUCUCUGGUUCUUGAGGUUUCUCCUCAGCUGGUACUUCAGAUUUCUCCUCAAAUGUUGGUUUCUCCUCAACUGCUGGUACAUCAGGUUUCUCUUCAAUGACUAGUUCUUCAUUUUUUAUUUCAACUGCCGGUUCUUCAGAAUUUUCCUCAAUGUCUGGAGAGUGAGCAACAUCAUUAUUGGUAUUGCAUGGAAUUUCACUGCCAGUUUUGGUGUUCGAGUCUACAAUUAGCAUAUUCUGCAAAAAGACUUUAAUGUUUCACUUAGCCUUUCAAAAGAAGAGCAUGUGAAUCACUGUACAUGCAUAACUAACAAAAUGGAUAUACUUUGUGAUAGUACUUGACCCUUACCUUUUCCAAAAGAGUUACCUUUUCAGGUUUCUCCUCUUUCAUUGCUGGCUCUUUAUGUAUCUCUUCUAAUGCUAGUUCCUUGGGUGUUUCUUCAGUUACUUGUUUAUCAGGUUUCUCCUCAAUUUUUGGUUCUUUGAUCGUCUCCUCAACUGAUGGUUCUUCAAGCUUUUCUCCCACUGUUGGUGUUUCAGGUUUCUCUUCGAUUGUCGGUUGUUCAGGUAUUUUCUCAACCGGUGGUUCUUCUGGUUUCUCCAAAACCCUUGAUUCUUCAGAUUUCUCUUCAAUAGCUGAUUCUUCAGAUAUCUCUUCAACUUCUGGUUCUUCAGUAUUUUCCUCAACUGAUGCAUAGUCAGCAAUGUCAUUGUUGGUAUUGCAUGGAAUUGCAUUGUCUGUUGUGUUCUUUGAGUUUACAAUUGGCAAAUUCUGCAAGAAAAUUUGAAGUUCCAUUUAGUCUUUCAAUAGAUGAAACAUAUUUAAAUUCAUUGCACUUAUAAAGUUAAUAUGCUGAAUAAACUUUGUGACAGUGUUAAUUGUCACCUUCUCCUGAAGAGCUUCCGUUUCAGGUUCCUCCUCUUCAAUUGCUGGUUUUUCAUCUUUCUCUUCAACAACUAGCCCUUCAGAUGUAUCUUCAACUGUUAGUUCUUCAGGUUUCCCUUCAAGUGCUAGUUCUUCAGCUGUUUCUAUAGCUGCUGGUUUUUCAGGUUUCUCUUCAGUUGCCGGUUCUUGAGGUUUCUCCUCAGCUGGUACUUCAGAUUUCUCCUCAAAUUUUGGUUCUUCAGGUUUCUCCUCAACUGCUGGUACAUCAGGUUUCUCUUCAAUGACUGGUUCUUCAUUUUUUAUUUCAACUGCCGAUUCUUCAGGAUUUUCCUCGAUGUCUGGAGAGUGAGCAACAUCAUUAUUGGUAUUGCAUGGAAUUUCACUGCCAGUUUUGGUGUUCGAGUCUACAAUUAGCAUAUCCUGCAAAAAGAAUUUAAUGUUUCACCUAGCCUUUCAAAAAAAGAUCAUGUGAAUCACAGUACAUGCAUAACUAACAAAAUGGAUAAACUUUGUUAUUAUACUUGACCCUUACCUUUUCCGAAAGAGUUACCUUUUCAUGUUUCUCCUCUUCAACGGUUGGUUCGUCAUGUUUCUCUUCAAAUGAUAGUUCCUUAGGUGUUCCUUCAGGUUUCUCCUCAAUUGUUGGUUCUUUGGUUGUCUCUCCAACCAAUGGUUCUUCAAGCUUUUCUCCUCCAACUGUUGGGUUUUCAGGUUUCUCUUCAAUUGUCGGCUGUUUAGGUAUUUUCUCAACCUCUGGUUCUUCUGGUUUCUCCAAAACCCUUGAUUCUUCAGACUUCUCUUCAAUAGCUGAUUCUUCAGAUUUCUCUUCAACUACUGGUUCUUCAGUUUUUUCCUCAACUAAUGCAUAGUUAGCAAUGUCAUUGUUGGUAUUGCAUGGAAUUGCAUUGUCUGUAUUGUCCUCUGCGUUUACAAUCGGCAAUUUCUGCAAGAAAAUUUAAAGUUUCAUUUUGUCUUUAAAUAGAUAAACAUAUAUUAAUUCGUUGCACAUAUAAAGCUUAUAUGGUGGAUUAACUUUGUGACAGUAUUUAAUCCUCACCUUCUCCUGAAGAGCUUUCCUAACAAGUUCCUCCUCUUCAAUAGCUGUUUCUUCAUCUUUCUCUUCAAGAACUAGUUCUUCAGGUGUCUCUUCAAGUGCUAGUUCUUCAGGUGCUUCCUCCUUUGCUAGCUCUUCAGCUGUUUCUUUAGCUGCCGCUUCUUCAGGUCUCUCUUUAGACGCCGGUUCUUGAGGUUUCUCCUCAACCAGUACUUCAGAUUUCUCCUCAAAUGUUGGUUCUUCAGGUUUCUCCUUAACUGCUGGUACAUCAGGUUUCUGUUCAAUGACUGAUUCUUCAGUUUUUUCUUCAACUGCCGACACUUCAGGAUUUUCCUCAAUGUCUGGAAAGUGAGCAACAUCAUUACCGGUAUUGCAUGGAAUUUCACUACCAGUUUUGUCGUUCAAGUCUACAAUUAGCAUAGUCU
rnacentral:lncRNA from 1 species